AACGAACGCUGGCGGCAUGCCUAACACAUGCAAGUCGAACGAGACCUUCGGGUCUAGUGGCGCACGGGUGCGUAACACGUGGGAACCUGCCCUUAGGUUCGGAAUAACUCCCCGAAAGGGGUGCUAAUACCGGAUAAUUUCUUCGGACCAAAGAUUUAUCGCCUUUGGAUGGGCCCGCGUUGGAUUAGCUAGUUGGUAGGGUAAAAGCCUACCAAGGCGACGAUCCAUAGCUGGUCUGAGAGGAUGAUCAGCCACACUGGGACUGAGACACGGCCCAGACUCCUACGGGAGGCAGCAGUGGGGAAUAUUGGACAAUGGGCGAAAGCCUGAUCCAGCAAUGCCGCGUGAGUGAUGAAGGCCUUAGGGUUGUAAAGCUCUUUUACCCGGGAUGAUAAUGACAGUACCGGGAGAAUAAGCACCGGCUAACUCCGUG
rnacentral:rRNA from 1 species